rnacentral:tRNA from 1 species
GCUCUCAUGGCGUAGUGGUCACUGCACUUGCCUUGCACGCGGGAGACCCGGGUUCGAUUCCCGGCGGGGUCA